AGCCGCGACGCUGAACAUGGCGCGUUCCUAGAAGCGGCUUUCGGCAUCAGUAGGCGGCGGCGUGUGGACUGGAAGCGUGGGGCGCAGGACGAGCUGACGCCGCUUCGUGUUGGACCGUGGAAGCGGGAGAGCCGGGCCAUUCCGGACCGAACCAAACGGUUUCCAUGGAUCUCAAUAGUGCCAGUACUGUCGUUCUUCAGGUCUUAACACAGGCCACCAGUCAGGAUACUGCUGUGUUAAAACCAGCUGAGGAGCAGUUGAAACAGUGGGAGACGCAGCCAGGUUUCUAUUCAGUGUUGCUGAAUAUUUUCACAAACCAUACCCUGGAUAUAAAUGUAAGGUGGCUUGCUGUGCUGUAUUUUAAAAAUGGAAUUGAUCGCUACUGGAGACGUGUAGCACCUCAUGCUCUCUCAGAGGAGGAGAAAUCUACAUUGCGUGCAGGGCUAAUCACCAACUUCAAUGAACCAAUAAACCAGAUCGCAACUCAGAUUGCCGUGCUGAUUGCAAAAGUUGCUCGAUUGGACUGUCCUAGACAGUGGCCUGAACUGAUUCCCACUCUUAUAGAAUCUGUGAAAGUACAAGAUGAUCUUCGACAGCACAGAGCGUUGCUUACCUUUUAUCAUGUUACCAAGACCCUGGCGUCUAAACGACUGGCUGCUGAUAGAAAACUGUUUUAUGAUUUAGCUUCUGGAAUUUAUAGUUUUGCCUGCUCUCUGUGGAAUCACCACACAGACACAUUCCUUCAACAAGUUUCUUCUGGCAAUGAAGCUGCAGUUCUAAGUUCACUAGAACGAACUCUACUGUCAUUGAAAGUGCUGCGUAAGUUAACUGUUAAUGGAUUCGUGGAACCUCAUAAGAAUAUGGAGGUGAUGGGUUUUUUACAUGGAAUAUUUGAACGUCUAAAACAAUUUCUGGAGUGCAGUAGAAGUAUAGGUACAGAUAAUGUAUGUAGAGAUAGACUGGAAAAGACCAUCAUUCUUUUUACUAAAGUGCUUUUGGACUUCUUGGAUCAGCAUCCCUUUUCAUUUACUCCUCUAAUUCAGAGAUCACUGGAAUUUUCUGUAAGCUAUGUGUUUACAGAAGUUGGUGAAGGCGUUACAUUUGAACGAUUCAUCGUCCAGUGCAUGAAUCUUAUUAAGAUGAUUGUCAAAAAUUAUGCUUAUAAGCCAUCCAAAAACUUUGAAGAUAGCAGCCCUGAAACUCUUGAAGCUCAUAAGAUUAAGAUGACAUUCUUCACAUAUCCCACUUUGACAGAGAUAUGUAGAAGAUUAGUCUCUCAUUAUUUUCUGUUAACUGAAGAAGAACUGACAAUGUGGGAAGAAGACCCAGAAGGCUUUACAGUGGAAGAAACAGGAGGAGAUUCUUGGAAAUACAGUUUGAGGCCAUGCACUGAAGUAUUAUUUAUAGAUAUAUUCCAUGAAUAUAAUCAGACUCUUACUCCUGUACUUUUAGAAAUGAUGCAAACACUUCAAGGGCCCACUAACGUGGAAGAUAUGAAUGCACUGUUAAUCAAAGAUGCUGUGUAUAAUGCUGUUGGAUUAGCGGCUUAUGAGCUGUUUGACAGUGUUGAUUUUGAUCAGUGGUUUAAAAACCAGCUUCUUCCAGAAUUACAAGUCAUUCACAAUAGGUAUAAGCCAUUGCGACGCAGGGUGAUUUGGCUCAUUGGUCAGUGGAUUUCUGUGAAAUUCAAGUCUGACUUAAGACCCAUGUUAUAUGAGGCAAUUUGUAACUUGCUUCAGGAUCAAGACUUAGUGGUCCGUAUUGAAACAGCUACCACUCUGAAGUUAACUGUUGAUGAUUUUGAGUUUAGAACAGAUCAGUUUCUGCCGUAUUUGGAAACCGUGUUCACACUACUCUUUCAGUUACUGCAGCAAGUUACAGAAUGUGACACAAAGAUGCAUGUUUUACAUGUCCUUUCUUGUGUGAUUGAAAGAGUCAACAUGCAGAUACGACCGUACGUAGGGUGUUUGGUACAGUAUUUGCCUCUUCUUUGGAAGCAGAGUGAAGAACACAAUAUGUUGAGGUGUGCUAUUCUGACAACACUUAUUCAUCUUGUUCAGGGAUUAGGAGCAGACAGCAAGAACCUGUACCCUUUCCUGCUCCCAGUUAUUCAACUGAGUACAGAUGUUUCCCAGCCUCCACAUGUUUAUCUUCUGGAAGAUGGUUUAGAAUUAUGGUUAGUGACUUUGGAAAACAGCCCAUGUAUUACACCAGAGUUACUUCGUAUAUUUCAGAAUAUGUCACCACUUCUAGAACUAAGUUCAGAAAGUCUCAGAACCUGCUUUAAGAUCAUCAAUGGUUAUAUCUUUUUAUCAUCAACAGAAUUUUUACAGACAUAUGCAGUAGGUCUAUGUCAGUCCUUUUGUGAACUGCUAAACGAAAUUACUACAGAAGGUCAAGUUCAAGUGUUAAAGGUUGUGGAAAAUGCCCUUAAAGUGAACCCAGUAUUAAGCCCGCAAAUGUUUCAACCAAUUCUACCCUGUGUUUUCAGAGGUAUUAUAGAAGGGGAGAGGUAUCCUGUAGUGAUGUCAACGUAUCUCGGCGUUAUGGGUCGAGUCCUGCUACAAAACACUAGUUUCUUUUCCUCACUACUUAAUGAGAUGGCACAUAAAUUUAAUCAGGAGAUGGACCAGCUUUUGGGAAAUAUGAUUGAAAUGUGGGUUGAUCGCAUGGACAAUAUUACCCAGCCUGAAAGAAGAAAACUUUCAGCUUUGGCUUUGCUUUCUCUUCUGCCAUCUGAUAAUAGUUUCCUGUAUCCAUGGCAACCUCUGUUUUACACACUGAGUGUGGAGGAACCAAUGUGAAGAGUGCUGUUUCCUGAGCAAAUUGUGACUUAAAAAAAAAAAGAGGUGGAGGGGUGGAGGUCAACAGUGCCACAAAAGAAAUGGAGUUUAGAAAUGUCGCUCUUCAGAUAUAGAAAGAAAACCUUUACUUGAAUCAGCUGAGUGUUAAUAAUAUGAAUUUCCUGUUCUUGUGUUAUCCAAGAUAAAUUCUGUGGGAUUAUAAACAUCUCAGUGGAGGGCCUACAUGAUGUUAUGACAGAAGAUCCUGAAACGGGAACUUAUAAAGACUGUAUGUUAAUGUCUCAUCUUGAAGAACCAAAAGUAACAGAAGAUGAAGAGCCACCCACAGAACAGGAUAAGAGGAAAAAGAUGCUGGCCCUGAAGGACCCCGUGCAUACCGUGUCACUGCAGCAGUUCAUCUACGAGAAGCUCAAGGCCCAGCAGGAGCUGCUGGGAGAGCAAGGCUUCCAGUCCCUCAUGGAAACGGUGGACACCGAGAUCGUCACCCAGCUACAGGAGUUUUUGCAGGGCUUCUGAGAGCACGUGACAUGUGGCUGAGAUGACCAGCCUGCCAUCUGUGUGUGAGAGCCUGCUGAGACGAUGGAGAAAUCCCUUGUGUAUUGAAAGAAAGAUGGGAAGACCACACGUUUUUUUACUACAAAAUUCAGCAAAUAAAUGUAAAUCCUGCAUAUCUAAAAUCACAAAACUAUUCCUCAAAAGAAUUUAAUUUUAUAUUUAUGAGGGCCCUGUGUUUACUAAAGAUAGAUUUGACAACAAUAGCUGCUUAGUUUCCUGUUAAGAGAAGAAACUGUUACCUUUUAAUCAUGUGCUCUUAACACUUGAGAAGAAGAAGGCUAAUGUCUGAGAUGUUUUUCUGCAACCAAAAUUAGUUAAAUUUGGCUGCCUUAUCCCUUUUUUAAGUUAAUGAGACUACAAGUUUGAAAAAUGGCAAAACUGUUCAGAUGAUGAAAUUACAGAAAUUUGUGUACCAGGCAAAAGAAUAUGAAUAGUGACAAAUAUACAUAACUGAGAUUAUCUUGCAAGGGAGUUGCUUUCAUCUGACAUAGAAAACAUGUUUUAUCAGACAAAUGCUUUUAUUUUCAUUCUAGUAAUUUGAUAUGGGAAUUAGUAAUGGGAUUUUUUUCUUGUGUUAUUUUCAGUAAUUACAUUUAGUCUUUAAAUGCACAUUGUAAGGCCCGCAGAUGUGAACCUGUGGUACUGCAGUGCCAGCUGGGAGACCUCUGGUCGUGAUUUGAUCCUAGUUCCUUUGUUACCCCUGGAGACCAGGAGCCCUGUGAACACUGACAGGAACCAGCAGCCACAGACCCCCUGUGCUGCGAAAUGGCUGUGACAGGCUGUUCAGCACUUACCCAUCUCAGGUUCCUCAGUGCAGGGGUACAUCAGGGCCUCGAAGAUAUGGGUACACGUGGAGGACUCAGCAGCGAUCCCCAGGGUACCGACACUGAUGUGACAAGUCUUCCUUCCUUAUUCCUCUAACAUGCAGUACCAAAAACGGGGAAAAAGGAGAAAAUAAAGCCUUACUUUGUUUUACUUGCCAUUGACUGUAAGGAACGUUUAAAACAUUUUAAAGAAAAUACUCAAAAGCAAGGUUGGAAAAUGUCUGAUCUUUCUAUAGAAAGUUGGGUACAGUAUGUAACUGCAGGAAACCCACUGCCCUUUGUAAGUUGUGGAACCCAAAGCGUAUGGAAAUAUUUGAUGUUUUAAGCAAAAGAAAGAAAAUAUGGUCCAAAUUAAAUUUUCCAAAGAUACCUCA